rnacentral:rRNA from 1 species
AUUGAACGCUGGCGGCAUGCCUUACACAUGCAAGUCGAACGGCAGCACGGGUGCUUGCACCUGGUGGCGAGUGGCGAACGGGUGAGUAAUACAUCGGAACAUGUCCUGUAGUGGGGGAUAGCCCGGCGAAAGCCGGAUUAAUACCGCAUACGAUCUACGGAUGAAAGCGGGGGACCUUCGGGCCUCGCGCUAUAGGGUUGGCCGAUGGCUGAUUAGCUAGUUGGUGGGGUAAAGGCCUACCAAGGCGACGAUCAGUAGCUGGUCUGAGAGGACGACCAGCCACACUGGGACUGAGACACGGCCCAGACUCCUACGGGAGGCAGCAGUGGGGAAUUUUGGACAAAGGGCGAAAGCCUGAUCCAGCAAUGCCGCGUGUGUGAAGAAGGCCUUCGGGUUGUAAAGCACCUUUGUCCGGAAAGAAAUCCUUGGCCCUAAUACGGUCGGGGGAUGACGGUACCGGAAGAAUAAGCACCGGCUAACUACGUG